CUGGCGGCUCAGAGGGGAUCGCAGUUUGCCUUAGGGGCUUGUAGGGUGGUGGGUCUAUGCAGUUAGCCCGUGGGAAAGCCCGCGGCUGACUGUGACUGAGGCUGACCUCCAAAGUGGAUAUCCCCGCCAUACACACGUCCCAAGGCCGGGCUUCCGGUAGAUGGCACAGCCUAAACCGCAGGGCUUUGGACUCUAAACGUCCCCCUCACGGGUCUCCUGAGCUUGUUUAGGGCGUAUGUGAAGGUGGUAGAAAGCAGAGGCUCUGAAGAGUCGGCGCUACAACCGCACGAGGCUAUGUUUCCUUAUCUGUGAAAUGGGCGGUGGCCGUUUCCCUUGGAAGGCUGUUGGAAGGCACGGUUUUUCUGUGUAACAGAGCCCUGGCUCUCCUGGACUCGAUUUGUAGACCAGGCUGACCUUGAACUCACAGAGGGUCGGCCUGCCUCCUGAGCGCUGGCAUUAAAGGCGUGCACCACCACACCUGGCUUUGAUGUUAAUUCUGAACUGUCAACUUGGCUGGAUUUAAAAUCGACCAGGAGGCCAGGCUUUGGGCGUGUCUUAUUUCCAGAGAGGUCUGCUUCUGACGAGCUGUUCUUGUUAACUGGAGCAUAUCAACCCUGGACAUCGUGUUUUGUGCUUAAAAGCUCACCUUGAGAAAGGCUCAGAGCUCCAGUGGGAUCCUAACAGCCAGUGCCGUCCCUGACAAAGGCUUUCUGUUGGCUUAAGCCCGUGUCUGAGCAGUCUUGUCUAGUGGACAGUCCACAGCCAUUGAGCUGAGCACCAGCCCAGGGCUCUCUGCUUCCUGACUGUGGCUGCAGUGUGACCAUCUGCCUGACGAUCCUGUCACCAUGCUUUCCCUGCCCCGGGGGACUGUCCCCUCAGACCUGGAGCCAACACAGAUGCUCCCUUUGCUGUUAGGCACUUUGUCAUAGCAACCAGACAAAUAACCAACACGCCACUUCCUUGUUUGUCCAGUUUCUAGAGAGGCUAGAAUUCUUUCCUUAGCUGGAGGGCCCUUCUUCACCUUGCGUCCGUUUCCAUCAUCGCGUCUCUUCUCUCUGAUUUGACGGUCCUGUCUCCCUCUCGUAAGACCUUGUCACGACACUGCGCCCAACCAGAUAAUCUACCUCCUGUCUCAGGACGUUUGACUUAACCACUUUCUCCAAAGUCCCCUUUGGCUGAACCUGUGGGCUGGCUGCCCCAUGCAGGGUGACGGAGGUCUAAUGCCGACCUCUCACACAGCCACGGAGGGUGCAUGUUCUCAGGGCAUAUGUGCACCUCUUCAGGGCGACUCUUCUGCAGGUGGCGUUGGAGGCAGGCAAAGCUGACAGGCUGCCCGACUCUGCAAGGCUCAGGGAUUGAACUGACAGCAGUGACAAGGGACUGAAGAAAGGACAGACACACAGACACGUCUACGGAAAAGCCAGGCUCAUGCCGUCUGUGCUUGCUCUGACAAGGGUACCAGCCACAAAAUGACCGGGAAGGUCAGUGAAUUUAUUCUGCAUAGGACAUGGAGGAGGAGCCAGCUAGUCUCUGCAGGAGUGUCUGUGGCAUGACGGACACACGGCAUUCAGUCCCUGAACUAGUGAUGGGGAGAAGCAGCUAUCAAACACCGGGGCUGACUGUGGGCCAGGCACCACUUUACCCACAAUUGUUGGCUUGGCUCCCUCAAAAACUGGAAGAUCGGUAUUUUUAGCCCCAUUUUAGAGAUGAAGAAACGGAGUCUCUCUCUGUGUGUGGUACUGGUUUCACAGGAUACAGUUUUAAGUCAGCCGUGACUCUCCUCGCACUAGGACUGAUUUGGCACCAAGGCCUGUGUGCUAAACCUGGGCCGUGCUGGCUUUAUCGCUGCCCGUACGUUUUAGGGGCGGAAACUGAAGCUUGGUAAGAUUGCGCAACUGGGCCAGGCUGAUGAGCCACCCUCAGACCAGGUGUGCGCACUUCAAAGGUCAAGCUGGUCUCUUCCGCCUUCGCACACAGUCACUUAUUAAUCUUCACUACCACGCCGCAUGGCUCCAGUUUUAUAGAUCUUUGUCCAGAUCUUUCUCCCAACUCUAACCGCCCAACUUUGUGAGGAGCCACAUGGGGCCUAGACCUGCAUCCUGUUCGUCUUUGUGUUCUGUACCUGGUGCAGGGGCUGGCCCAGAGCGCCUGCCUACCUGGCACAGGAGCCAACGGGGGAAAUGGGCAAUGCUUCCCAUUCACAGCUUUGAUAAAAGCAGGGAGCUGCUCCCUCCAGGCGUUCCCUGCAGCCGCUAGAUGCAGAGGGGCUGAGAAUUAACUCCUUCUGAGUCCAAGCUUGGCUCCUCGCUCAAGCCUCAUGGCCCGUAGGAACAUUUGGGCCUGGUGUAGCGGUGUAUGCCUACAACCCACAAGUCAGGGGACUGAGACAGGAGAAUCAAGAGUUCAAGUCUAGCCUGGGCUGCAGAGCGACAGCCUGUUGGGAAAAGCAAGUAAUAGCGUAAGAUCUGAUGUGAUUGAAAUGGUGGUUCCAGAUAUUUUACAAAUAUGGACGUGAUUGUACAAAGGAUAUAGAGCAGAAGAGUGGCCUCUUGGACCCAGGCUCCCAGCUCCCCUUCCUGAAGCAUUCCCGAGCUGCCACUUUCUUCAGAAGCCCUCUGAAGAUGCCAUACAUGUGUACAUAGAACACACACAAAUGGAAGCCAACUCCAGGGGCCAGCAGGGUGCCUAGAGGCACGUGCUGCUGCUAGGCUUGACCACCUGUGUUCUGCUCUCAGGACCUACACGGCGGAAGGAGAGGACAGACUGCUCUCUGCCCCCCCCCCCCCCGCAUCGGUGGAGUGACCUCCACCCUCCUCCACAAUAAAAAUAAAUAAAUACACACACAAAACAAGACAAAGGAUGCCGCAAGUGGUGGCGGACACCGUGCUGCUCUGCCCCUUCGCUUUUUCAUUUCGUAGAAUCCGGCGAGCAGCUUUCUUUCCUGCUGGCAUCACAGAGAGCUGUCACUGCUCGUUGGUGAUUGCCUAGCACACACGGGGAUACAGAGGCGACACACAGUGGGUGGUCAGGCAUUUCCGGUCUUUUUGUGGGUAUAAACACACACACUGCUGUGAAUAUCCCUGGACCCAUGUCAUUUCGCAAAGGUACGUCUGGAUGGAUCAAAAAUUACCCGUCGGGGUGGUGAGAUGUCUCGGUGGGCAAAGGCGCUUGCUGCUAAGCGCGAGUUCCAUCCCUAGGAUCCCCACGAUGGAAGGAGAGCACCCCCUCCUGUAAGCUCUUCUCGGACCUCUUACACGUGUGCAGUGGUGAUCCCCACAAUAAAUAACCGU